rnacentral:lncRNA from 1 species
UUUUUUUCAUUGAUUACACCAUCAGCACAAUAUCACUUGCCUCUUCCAUUUUCAUGGCUUCUUUUCUCAUAAACCUUUUCACACUACACUGUUUCAAUUCCCCCAAAUUCAAUUUCUCUGUCAGACUCGUUUCAUCCUUACCCCAAAAUAUCCAACGCAAAAAUUCUCAAAUCCAAUAAACCAAAAAAACCUCUCAGCACUCUCUUCUCUAAACUAAUGUCAGGUAAACCAAGAAACCAAC